AUUGAACGCUGGCGGCAGGCCUUACACAUGCAAGUCGAGCGGAGCGGCGGACGGGUGAGUAAUGCCUAGGAAUCUGCCUGGUAGCGGGGGAUAACUUCCGGAAACGGGAGCUAAUACCGCAUACUAUCAGAGCAGCCGAGGUCGGAUUAGCUAGGUGGUGGGGUAAAGGCCUACCAAGGCGACGGUCCGUAACUGGUGUGAGAGGAUGAUCAGGCAACCUGGAACUUAGACACGGUCAAGACUCCUACGGGAGGCAGCAGUGGGGAAUAUUGGACAAUGGGCGAAAGCCUGAUCCAGCCAUGCCGAGUGUGUGAAGAAGGUCUUCGGAUUGUAAAGCACUUUAAGUUGGAAAGCGUUACCAACAGAAUAAGCACCGGCUAACUUCGUGCCAGCAGCCGCGGUAAUAC
rnacentral:rRNA from 1 species